UACGGGGGGAGCAAGCGUUGUUCGGAUUUACUGGGCGUAAAGGGCGCGUAGGCGGCGCGACAAGUCACUUGUGAAAUCUCUGGGCUCAACCCAGAACGGUCAAGUGAUACUGUCGUGCUAGAAUGCGGAAGGGGCAACUGGAAUUCUUGGUGUAGCGGUGAAAUGCGUAGAUAUCAAGAGGAACACCUGCGGCGAAGGCGGGUUGCUGGGCCGACACUGACGCUGAGGCGCGAAAGCUAGGGGAGCGAACGGG
rnacentral:rRNA from 1 species